CAGCAGGGCGGGGUCCUCGUCGUCGGAGCUGUAGGAGGAGUCCUCAUUGUCCGACGAGCAGAGGCUGGAGGUGGACAUGGAGCCUGAGGAGGAGGACGUGGACGAGCCGGAGGACGACGACGACAUGGAGAGGCGGAAGCACCUGCAAGGAGGCAUGUCCUGAGCGUGUGGCCAGCCCAGCUCACCAGAAGCCAUGUCAGGCCCGGGGGACAACAGGGGUGACAGGAGGAAAAGAGAGAUGUUUCGGGGCGCUUCUGCAGCCUGACCACGCCGGCAGUCCGGUAAGCCGGCAGUCCGGUAAGCCGGCACCGCUUGCCCUGGCUACCUGGUAUUAAAAGCCAGGGGUCCAGUGCACAGGAGUCCCGCCCUCCACACUGCCUGCGUUUCCUCCAACAGACGCCUGCCAUUCACCUUCAGACCUUCCCACGCCGAGGGCCCUACCCGUCCUGUCUCGGUGUGCUGGGAUGCGCCCACGACAGCUUUGGAGACCCAGGCACAGGGAUUCUGGGCCCUUUUCUUGCUGGGCCUGCUCUGAUUAGCUGGACACGGGAGGGGCCCAUCCCCCCCCUUUCUCAGGGACUCCUUGCCUCACUUAGAGCAGACGCAGGUCUGCCCUCCUCCAGGGCAGCUUGACUAUGGGUAGGAGGGACCCUCUCGGGAGCUUCGUGGCCACAGAGGGGCCUUGGCCCUCAUCCUGGCCAUGAGGAUACUGACCUCGAACCACAUUGCCUGGAUACAGACACCGAGACUUUGGACUCCAGUAGGCACAGACCCGAGUACCGGGUGGGAGGUACCGGCUGGACUGUGGCCGGACAUCAAGAACCUGCAGGGAGCAGCAGAGCAGAGCUGGUAACCAGCAGGUCUGGUUACACAUGCCUCAGUGUGCAGCCAGCCAAGUCCUCCUGGUGGUGGGGACGGCCACCAGGCUGGCUCCCCGCACAGGGCCCGCCUUACCGCCUCCUGCAGCAGCUGCUCCAGUGAGUAGAUCCUCUGCCGGUUGCCUCUCUCGCCCUCUAUGACGAUGCUGUAGCUGAGGGCAUUGUGGGGGAUAUGUCAGGCUCCUGGGGGAGCCUCACUGCCCCACGGGCCGCAGCCAGCAUGCACCCCUCCCUCCCGGGCCCCGGCCUCACAUAUCGGGGGGCUGCAGGGUCCUGACGCUGCCCGCGUACAGCAGACUGUCCUCCUUCGGGAUCAGCACAGGCAGUCCGUCCUGAAGGUCCUCCUUGUGGAUGGUGCAGGAACGCGCUGUGGGGGGCGGCCGUCAAGAGCUGGGCCCCAGGCCCACCCACCACCUCCCCAGGCAACCGUGUGUCCCCACUGCCGCUUACCCAGGGCGGCACUCUGCUCUGCGCUCAGCUGGACGCUGCCUUCCUCUUCUUCCUCUUCCUCGUCCGAGAAGCUGCUGUCGUCAAACUCAAAGUCCUCCUCUACAGCGAAGCUCUCCAGCAGCCGGCUCACGGCUCGGCCCUGGCCCUGGCUUCCUGCUCUUUCCCAGGAUGGCCUUGGCAUUGCGGGCUGACAGAGCGAUGGACAAGGCCCCAUUCUUCCUCUGGUCAAGAAGGAUGGACAGAGGACAGCAAUGAGGAUUGGAACAGCUUCCCUGGCCAGCGUGGGCUGUGACUUGGGGUUCAGAGUUGAGCGGUGAAGGAGGAGCAGUAUCACCCUCCUUGGGAUGCCCACUGACCGCUCUGACGCCCAGGAGACCCUGCUAGCCUACCCUCAGGACUGGCUGCAACAUGGCGCUCUUGCGUGUGGCUCUCUUGAGGCGCUCACUGGCAAGUUUGCUGCCUUCCUCUCGGCAGGAAAAGGUCCGGGUGGGGCUGAAAAGGGCAUCUCUGCUGGUGGCAGUCCCAGGCUCUGCUCGAAGGCUACUUUUCGCCUUGCCCUUGGCUUUCCUCUUGCCAGGAGCACCUGGAGGCCGCCGCCCUGGUGCCCGCUCCAGCUUGGGGCCCACCUUGCUUUUUACUGUCCGUCUCUUGAUCUUGACCUCGCCCUCAGGGCUGGACAGGCGGCAGGGUCCUGUAGGAGAGAGGGGGGUGGUCACUGGGACCCUGGUUAUAAAGGGCUGUGUUCAGGUGCCCUCUGGUUUCUUUGUUACCUAGCAAGCCCUGCCUCUCCUUUUUCUUCUUGGCCUUCUGGUUAGCUUCCAUCUUGACCACGGAGGAAGGGGAGGGUCCCAACACUGCCACACCAGCCCCUGGGUGCAACACCAGCCCAGGCUCCCUGGGAGCCACCUCUGUCCCCAGGAGUGCCUGGCAGUCCUCACUGUCAUAGCCGCUGCCUGUGGGGGACAGCAGAGGAGACGUGGUGACUGCUUUUGAACUUGGCUGUUUGGGGUGGACCUAGAGAACUCGGCCAGUGGGGACACUGUCUUCCUCUGGGCUGCUCAGGGGCAGGGGCAGGAACUGGCAGGGGAAGGGAACAGGACUUUCCUUCUUGCAGCCCCGACUUCCCUGGGGAGUCCCUCCCUCUGUGUCCUCUGGCCCAGCUGGCCCCCUGCUUCCUGUCCCCAAAGCACUGCUUCCCCUUGUCCUCACUCAGCCUCGACCCUAGAGGAGGGGCCAGGAGGGAGGAAGCCUCUAUUUUUCCAGGCUGUUUCUGGCCUGGUAGGGAGGAAAGCUCUCCGGACGCUGCAGGGCAGAGGUGGCGAGGGGCUAUUUUUAACGUGCUUCCCAGGUGUGUCCAGGGCUUCUUUCUGCCUCGGGAAGGGGGCUACUGAGCCCUGGCCUGGGGCAAAGUCUCCCUCCCCAGCCCUGCCCAACAGGAGGCUGUCCCUGGACUGCCGUUCCACAGGCUUCACCUGGAUCUGGGGGUAGCCGCUCCCUGUGUGCACCCCUCCUUCAGCCCCUGAGAUCACGACCCAGUCGCUCAUUACCAGCAACUUGCCUGCCUCAUGGGCCACAGCCACUGCUGGCUGGGCUUGGAACUUGGGCGUCUCCCUGCCACCGUCCGCAUCGGGGUGUGGAUGCCGAGCUGCCCCCGCCACUCUGCCACUCUUGGCCCUGGAGAGCUUCUUGCGGAUGCGCCCACCGGGGGCGGCCUCUUUGUGCUGGAAGGCACUGAGGCCGGUGGGCAGCCCCUGGCUCUUGACCUUUGGCUUCAACUGGGCCACCUUGUGGGCAGCUGAGGAAGACAGCUCGGCCUGGCCACUGUUCUUGCACCGCACCUUUCCCUGUGAAUGGAAGGCGGUGUCACCCUCAGGCACGGCCCCGGCCCCAGCCCCUGGCCUGUGGGUCUCCUCUAUCGAACGGCAGCCCUGGGGACAUUGCCUGAGCAGGGCCCUGGGGACAUCUUGGGAACAGGGCUGCCCACUGGAGCAAACACUGCGCCCACCAUCUAUCCAACCCCAAUUCACCUCUGGAAGUAGAAUGGGGACGGGGCUGAGGACCAGAAGGCCCUUUGCAUCAUAGGUAUUUGCUGACUGCUUCUGUGAAACGCACAGUUAAGAAGAGUUCUCUAGGUAGACUAGGCAGCCAGCACCCUGCCCAUGCCUGUAGCGCUCAGGAGGCAGAGAUGGGAGGGUGGCUGCAAGCUCAGGGGCAGCCUGACUCGCAGAGCAAGUUCUAGAUAGUCAGGGUACGGAGACUGAAACCACCACCACCAUCACCACCACCAAACCAUGCCAAAAACAAGCAAAAAUAAAAACAGCCUCUGCCAUGGAAGGAGACGGACUAGGUAACAAUAGGUCUAGGACCCUGAAGAGAGAAAAGUGGAAGGACCCAAGUUUCUAUGGUGUUCAGAGCCAGGCACUGUGGCCGUGGAUUCACUUCCGCAGCACACUGCUAUGUCUUCUUUCUGAGGUGUGUAUGUGUGUGCGCACACAGUGCAUCAGGGACCAGUGACAAGCCACACGCAGGGAAAUCUACUGUCAGUAUCCAGGGGCAACAGCCUCUGGUUACACUGGAUAGCUGUGCCAUCGCUUCCUUUAACCAAGGUAUCAGCAGCUCACCAAACCCCGUCGGCUCACCCAGCCUCGACCCCGGGAACCCCAAGGGUGGCAGCCUGGACACUCACCGCAGAGGCCGCCUGUAGGCCUGUGUAGGCACUCUUUUCCAGUUUGCUUCGCUUCCUUGUGGGCUCAUCGCCGCGUAGCUCCGCACACAGCAGACUCAGGCUGGCACGAACAGCCCUAGGGGAAAGCAGUGGUGGGUACGGUGGACACAGCAGCGGGGCCCGGGGCAGCCUGUGUGCAGGGCCCUCUUCAGCAGCAGGCCCUGGGUGUCCAGCCAGUCCUGGGCCUCCUGGUCAGGUCCCCUGCCUGCCGACUAGCACCAGCUCCUGGUGGUCCUUGGGGCCUUCCCCUGACUCAUCCAGCUUCACUAUUCCCCUGUCCGUCGUGAGCCAUCUCCUCUAGGCUGGCAGUUAGGUCAGGGGUCACUGUGCUAAAGCAGCUAGAGAGGAAACAGCAGGGGGUUCUGCCUGGCCUCCCACAGCUCUAGCCUCCCGUCAUGGGGACAGACAUGUCUCCCCGACAUCCCAAUGCCUGACUUCAUUUCCUUCCUAGCGCCCCCUCCCCAUGAGGAAACCAACAUUGCCUGUUUGCCCGAGGUGGGCCAGGGGCUGGGUUUGCCCUCCCACCUGUCAACCCCUUAGCCAACAGAGCACAGAAAGGAGCUGGCUGCUCAUGAAAAUGAGUGGCAGAUGGGGCCUGAGGGCCUGGCCCAGCUCUGACCUCGUGUGGCCAGAUACCACCUUCUAGCUUCCUGUCCAACGAUGCAGCUGGAUCUCUGAAGACAGAGAAGCCAGGCAGGAAGGCCCUGCCGCUCUGGGAGCCUCCCUGACCCCAGCUUCCUGCCACUGUGCCUGGCCUCCCACUUCCGGCAUGGAGGAGGCCCAGCCCUGAGGCCCAAGGCCUCCUGCCCCCAUGGGUUCCGGAACAUGGCUCAAGGGUGUGUCGGGACAGGACUGGAGGUGGGGGACUGUCAGGAGACCCACUUUUCGGAAAGAGGGGCCCUGGCUGUGGAUCCCUCCCCGCCCUCAGGCUGCUGGCUUCUCUGGGUCAUCGGUGAACCUGGCAGCAAGGUUAAGCUUACUUGCUGGGAUUUAGGCUAGAGUCCAGCAUGGGCAAUGUGGCCAGCGCUGGCAGGUCCAGAGAGGGGGAGGUUUGGGGGGCGUUUCCCUGCCCUCUGACAGGUUCUCCAACACCCUCCGUGGACCCCAGUAGCCCCCAGUAUCCUCGGCAUGCUCAGCAGCCCCCGGGCUUCGGACUGGUUCUCAAAGGAGCCCCCUGCUGGGUGAUACCUGGGUAGGGGGCCAGGACCUUGGUGAGCCCCCAGCCAUAUGGUGAACCCUCUCCCUUGCCUGCAGCCCACACAAACUCCCCCGCCCCAUAACCUUCUCUGCAUUUGCUAAUGUUUUGUGACAUAAAGCCCUGAGAUUAAUUUUU